rnacentral:rRNA from 1 species
UGAGCAAUCUGCCCUUCUCUUUGGAAUAAGCGUUGGAAACGACGUCUAAUGCCGAAUACGACCUCCUUUCACAUGAUCGGAGGUGGAAAGCUCCGGCGGAGAAGGAUGAGCUCGCGGCCUAUCAGCUAGUUGGUAGGGUAAUGGCCUACCAAGGCUACGAUCAGUAGCUGGUCUGAGAGGAUGAUCAGCCACAGUUGGGACUGAGACACCGGACCCCAAAAUCCCGUAACGGGG